rnacentral:lncRNA from 1 species
GGCUUUCCUCUCUUUCUUUUUUUUUCUCCUUGUCUUUCCCAAUUCUCUUCCUAAGCCCUUGUCCUAAAAUUAGACUUAUCCUUUCCAAAAGGACUUUGUGUUAACAAAGGAAGGAAGAGAACUAUUUGGACAACCUUGGAGACUUUAUGGCAAGAAAGAAGAGAUUAGAAUGGAAUGAAGAAUCCUGACAACACCACCUAUUUAUAAUUGGUGUGGGGA